UUAGGAUUGAUCAGGAAGUUG
rnacentral:piRNA from 1 species